AGUCACUGACAUUAGAUACCCGGGUAGUCCAGGGUGUAAACGCUGCAGACUUGGUNUUGGGGGCCCUUUGGGGGCAUUCAGUGCCGGAGAGAAGUUGUUAAGUCUGCUACUUGGGGAGUACGUCCGCAAGGAUGAAACUUAAAGGAAUUGGCGGGGAGCACCGCAACGGGAGGAGUGUGCGGUUUAAUUGGAUUCAACACCGUAAACUCACCAGGGAAGACUGUUACAUGAAGGCCGAGAUGAAGACUCUGCUAGAUUUUCAG
rnacentral:rRNA from 1 species